CGCCUGCGCAGUGGCUCCCAGCGGGCGGUUGCUUGUUGGUUGUUGUAGUAACGGGGGAAGCAGCCGUCGGCAGCCACUGUGAGCCCGGCUGGAACAGGAGGAGGGAGGCAGGCGCAGAGUGCGGUCCCCACCUACCCGCCGGAGCCAUGGGAAGAUGAAACAGGAAUCCGGGCUACCCGAGUUGUUUGAUCCAGUGAGUCUGCAAGGAAAGGUCGUGGAGGCCCCUGUGUGCUGACUGUAUGACAGACCCCCAAGGAAAUGCCGGUCGUGAUGGCCCGGGACCUGGAGGAAACAGCGUCAUCCUCCGAGGAUGAGGAGGUGGUAAGCCAAGAGGAUCAUCCAUGUAUCAUGUGGACCGGUGGCUGCAGGAGGAUUCCGGUUCUGGUUUUCCAUGCUGAGGCUAUCCUGACCAAGGACAACAACAUUCGAGUUAUUGGAGAACGUUAUCAUUUAUCUUACAAGAUUGUACGGACUGACAGUCGUCUAGUACGCAGCAUUCUAACAGCCCAUGGAUUUCAUGAAGUUCACCCAAGCAGCACUGACUAUAACCUCAUGUGGACAGGAUCCCAUCUGAAGCCCUUCUUACUUCGCACCCUCUCUGAAGCACAAAAGGUCAAUCACUUCCCCAGGUCUUACGAACUAACCCGGAAGGACCGAUUAUACAAAAACAUAAUUCGAAUGCAGCACACACAUGGAUUCAAGGCUUUCCACAUCCUCCCGCAGACCUUCCUCCUGCCAGCUGAGUACGCGGAAUUCUGUAAUUCAUAUUCAAAGGACCGGGGACCUUGGAUAGUAAAACCAGUGGCCUCUUCCAGGGGCCGGGGCGUCUACCUGAUCAACAAUCCAAACCAGAUUUCCCUGGAAGAGAAUAUUCUGGUCUCCCGUUACAUUAGCAACCCCCUGCUUAUAGAUGAAUUCAAGUUUGACGUGCGCCUGUACGUGCUCGUGACUUCCUAUGACCCUCUUGUCAUCUAUCUCUACGAAGAAGGACUGGCUCGGUUUGCCACUGUGCGUUAUGAUCAAGGAGCCAAGAAUAUUCGGAACCAGUUCAUGCACCUGACGAACUACAGUGUGAAUAAGAAGAGCGGAGACUAUGUCAGUUGUGAUGAUCCAGAAGUGGAGGAUUAUGGGAACAAAUGGAGCAUGAGUGCUAUGCUUAGGUACCUGAAGCAAGAGGGCCGGGAUACAACCGCAUUGAUGGCCCAUGUAGAAGACCUGAUCAUUAAGACCAUCAUCUCUGCUGAGCUCGCCAUAGCUACUGCCUGUAAGACCUUUGUCCCUCAUCGCAGCAGCUGCUUUGAACUCUAUGGCUUUGAUGUACUCAUAGAUUCUACUCUGAAGCCAUGGUUGUUGGAAGUGAAUCUGUCUCCUUCUCUGGCCUGCGAUGCACCUUUGGACCUAAAGAUCAAAGCCAGUAUGAUUUCAGAUAUGUUCACGGUUGUAGGAUUUGUGUGCCAAGAUCCUUCCCAGCGGGCAGCGACCCGGCCAAUUUAUCCCACCUUUGAGUCUUCCAGGCGAAACCCUUUCCAGAAACCUCAGCGUCCAGUCUCUGCACAGUUUCAGGCAUCAAGCAGCAAGCAGCGUUCCCGUCCACUCUCUGCCAGUGAUGCAGAAAUGAAAAACCUUGUGGGGUCUGCCCGGGAGAAGGUGCCGGGGAAGUUAGGUGGUUCUGUGCUUGGCCUGUCCAUGGAGGAGAUCAAAGUUUUACGGAGGGUGAAGGAAGAGAAUGACCGGAGAGGUGGAUUCAUUCGCAUAUUUCCUACAUCCGAGACGUGGGAAAUCUAUGGGUCCUACCUGGAGCACAAGACCUCCAUGAACUACAUGUUAGCAACACGUCUCUUCCAGGACAGGGGAAACCCAAGAAGAAGCUUAUUGACAGGAAGAACACGAGUGACUGCAGACGGAGCGCCAGACUUGAAGGUAGAGAGUGUUAAUUCAAAGGCCAAGCUACACGCUGCUCUUUACGAGAGGAAACUUCUGUCUCUGGAGGUGCGAAAACGUAGACGACGGAGUGGCAGAUUGAGGGCAAUGAGGCCAAAAUACCCAGUGAUUACCCAACCAGAAAUGAACGGUAAAGCUGAGACAGAGAGUGAAGAGGAAGAAGUCGGCUUAGACAAUGAAGAUGAAGAACAGGAAGCGUCCCAGGAGGAGUCUGCAGGAUCUGCUGGAGAAAAUCAGCCCCCAUACACCUCCUCAGUGACUGUUACAGCAGAAAAUUCACUCAAAGAAAAUCCCCUUAAAGUUUCCGAAUGGAACAAUAAGGGAGAACAGUGCUGCAAAAUUGAGACCCAGGAGGCAGAGCCUAAAUUUAACCUGAUGCAUAUUCUGCAAGAUAAUGGGAAUCUCAGCAAAGUGCAGGCUCGAAUAGCAUUCUCUGCCUAUCUCCAGCAUGUUCAAAUUCGCCUGAUGAAAGACAACGGAGGCCAGACUUUGAGUGCCAGCUGGGCUGCCAAAGAGGAUGAGCAGAUGGAGCUGGUAGUUCGUUUCCUCAAGCGGGCAUCCAGUAACCUCCAGCAUUCAAUAAGGAUGGUAUUACCUAGUCGGCGACUGGCACUUCUGGAACGCAGGAGGAUCCUGGCUCACCAACUAGGUGACUUCAUCAUUGUGUACAACAAGGAAACGGAACAAAUGGCUGAAAAGAGAUCAAAGAAGAAACUGGAGGAGGAAGAGGAAGAUGGAGUGAAUCCAGAAAGCUUCCAGAAGUUCAUCAGACAAGCAAGUGAGGCCGAACUGGAGGAGGUGCUGACUUUUUACACCCAAAAAAACAAAUCUGCAAGUGUCUUCCUGGGGACUCAUUCCAAAAGUUCUAAGAACAGCAGUAGUUAUUCUGAUAGUGGGGCAAAGGGUGAUCACCCUGAGACAGUGGAGGAAGUGAAAAUUAAGCAGCCGAAACAGCAACAGGCAACAGAAAUCCACUGUGACAAACUAUCACGAUUUACCACUUCGACAGAAAAAGAAGCUAAAAUAGUCUAUGCGAAUCCUCCCUCUGCUGUUUUCUCUGGUCCUGUAGCUGCUCCCCUCCACAAAAUUCCCAACACCCAUUUGUCAUCUGUUAUUUCCUCCACUGACCUCUCGCCCGCAUUGGGCCACCAUGCUUCCUUAGCACAAUUUCCUCCAGCAAUUCCCAGCAUGCCUCACCAGCCGCCCGUUUUGCUGAGCCCAGUCCCCGACAGUGCUCCCCACUUGAUGCAUUCUGGGACACAGAAUGUACCAAGCCCAGCAGGCUUACCACGCUGUCGAUCAGGCAGUUACACCAUCGGCCCCUUUUCCUCCUUCCAAAGUGCCGCGCACAUCUAUAGCCAGAAAUUGUCUCGUCCCUCUUCAGCCAAGGCAGCAGGUUCAUGUCAUCCAAGCAAGCAUCAUUCAGGAGCAACCAAAACACAGAAAGAGGGAGAAGAUGCUGCUUUGUAUGGCAAACGGUACAACCAAAGCAUGGUUACGGCUGAACUUCAGCGGCUGGCCGAGAGGCAGGCGGCAAGGCAGUACUCUCCGUCUAGCCACAUCAGUCUCCUCACCCAGCAGGUAACAAACCUGAAUUUGGCAAGUGGCAUCAUGAACAGAAGCAGUGCUUCGACACCCCCAACCCUCAGACCUGUCCUCAGCCCCAGUGGACCAACAUGGUCCAUGCAGCCAGACCCCCACACUCCCGAGAGCCACUCCAGCCCGCCCGGAACCAGGAGCCUCCAAACAGGUGGCUUUGCAUGGGAGGGGGAGCUGGAGAACAAUGCUUACAGCAAGGCGACAGGAGUGGUCCCCCAACACAAGUAUCACCCCACGGCCGGCAGUUACCAACUUCAUUUCGCCCUACAGCAACUUGAACAGCAAAAACUUCAGUCCCGGCAGCUUCUGGACCAGAGUCGAGCCCGGCACCAGGCAAUAUUUGGUAGCCAGGCACUAUCUAACUCCAAUCUGUGGACCAUGAAUAAUGGUACGGGCUGCAGAAUAGCAAGUGCCACAGCCAGUGGCCCGAAGCCAACCACGCUGCCACAAAAAGUGGUGCCGCCUCCCAAUUCCUCUGCCUCCCUGGUCCCCAAGCCUCCGUCCAGUCACAAGCAAGUACUCAGAAAGGCCACAUCACAGAGGGCUUCCAAAUCCUGCUCACACUAACCAAUGAUGAGCCACAGACACGUGGAGGAAGGACCCGUGCUCUCCUCCUGGAUUGCAGCGUUAAGCUUCAUUUUCUUGCACAAGCUUCAGAUCUCCCCAUUAUUAUCUACCAAAGCUGCUCCUCCCUUCCCAGAGGGCCCAGGGGCAGGAGGAGCACACAGCCCGAGUGUCCCAGGGUGUGGAGACGAGUGGGCCUGUGGCCGACAACGCGAGCCAGGGGAAAGGCACCCUUGGGAAUUACUGAUUUCUGAAAUUAAUAAAAGUCAUUACAUUUUUAUUUUCUUUCUUAUUUUGUUCCCAUUUACUAAUGUCCCAACCAUCAGUAGUCACAAACAAGACCUGAAAGAGAACCAG